rnacentral:tRNA from 1 species
GCGAGCGUGGCGGAAUUGGCAGACGCACCAGGUUUAGGUCCUGGCGUCCGAAAGGAUGUGGGGGUUCAAAUCCCCCCGCUCGCA